rnacentral:rRNA from 1 species
AACGAACGCUGGCGGCAGGCUUAACACAUGCAAGUCGAACGCCCCGCAAGGGGAGUGGCGCACGGGUGAGUAACGCGUGGGAAUAUGCCCUUUAGUACGGAACAACGUCGGGAAACUGACGCUAAUACCGUAUAAUGUCUACGGACCAAAGAUUUAUCGCUGAAGGAGUAGCCCGCGUCUGAUUAGGUAGUUGGUGAGGUAACGGCUCACCAAGCCUACGAUCAGUAGCUGGUCUGAGAGGAUGAUCAGCCACACUGGGACUGAGACACGGCCCAGACUCCUACGGGAGGCAGCAGUGAGGAAUAUUGGACAAUGGGGGAAACCCUGAUCCAGCCAUGCCGCGUGAGUGAUGAAGGCCUUCGGGUUGUAAAGCUCUUUCGGGUGUGAAAAUGAUGAUGGUAACACCAGAAGAAGCCCCGGCUAACUCCGUGCCAGCCGCCGCGGUAAGAC